UACGUAGGGUGCAAGCGUUGUCCGGAAUUAUUGGGCGUAAAGAGCUCGUAGGCGGUUUGUCGCGUCGAAUGUGAAAACCCGGGGCUCAACCCCGGGCCUGCAUUCGAUACGGGCAGACUGGAGGCAUGCAGGGGAGAACGGAAUUCCUGGUGUAGCGGUGAAAUGCGCAGAUAUCAGGAGGAACACCGGUGGCGAAGGCGGUUCUCUGGGCAUGUCCUGACGCUGAGGAGCGAAAGUGUGGGGAGCGAACAGG
rnacentral:rRNA from 1 species